GUGGGGUUGUGGCUCAGUGGUAGAGCACUUGCCUAGCAUGUGUGAGAAUCUGGAUUCGAUUCUCAGCACCACA
rnacentral:tRNA from 1 species